rnacentral:rRNA from 1 species
AUGAAUAGGGAUUCCGCGGAGUGGCAGAGUGGCAUUAUGGAAUUUUUAGAUUUGGCUUUUGACGGUAGUCCUGGAAGAUCAAUCGCUUUAUGCCCAUGUAGAAGAUGUCUCAAUGCUAUUUACAAGGAAAGGGACGAAGUACACCUUGACAUGCUCAUGAAUGGGAUGGAUCCCAGUUAUACUUGCUGGAAAUACCAUGGAGAGGAUUCAGAUGACGAAAGUACAGCUGAAGGAUCUGAAGGUGAAGUGGUGAGAGGUGAUGACUUUGCAGUUCGUGAUUUGCUCAACACUCUCAUACGUAGCACCGAGCCAGAAAGUAGCAAAACCACAGGUGAAGGUACUAGUGAAGAGAUGUUGCAUGAUGGUAAUAUCCCAGAAGGGUCUGCAGAAGGUAGAAGUAACGAAGAGGCAGGUGGAUGUGCCAAGGCUUUCUUUGCUUUGUUGAAGGAUGUUGAAAAGGAGUUGUACCUUGGUUGCAAGGAGCUCACAAAGCUUUCUUUCAUUGUGAGACUCUACCAGAUAAAGUGCUUGUUUGGGUUGAGCAACAGGGCAUGUGAGGCAGUACUUCAAUUGUUCACAGAAGCGCUUCCAAAAGGUCAUUGUAUUCCAAAUUCUCUCGAGAAAGUUCAGAAGAUAAUCCGGGAUCUUGGGCUUGACUACCAAAAGAUACAUGCUUGCAUUAAUGAUUAUGUGCUAUUCCGGAAAGAGUAUGCUGACAUGGAUUACUGUCCGACCUGUAAGGAAUGUAGAUGGAAAGCUGCUGCCGCUGAUGAAUCAGAUGUCGAGAGGACAAACCAUAAAGGGAAGAAGCAAGUGGCUCGUAAAGUUCUAAGAUAUUUCCCACUCACUCCAUGGCUACAACGUCUAUUUAUGACCAAGGCUACAUCAUCAUAUAUGAGAUGGCAUAAGGACGACCGUGUGGAUGAUGGUAUAAUGCGGCACCCUGCAGAUUCUUUGGCAUGGAAGCAUUUUGAUAAUAUUUAUUCUAAAGGAUUCUCUUCGGAUGCACGAAAUGUAAGGCUUGGGCUUGCAUCUGAUGGGUUCAACCCAUAUGGGAUAAUGAAUGUGUCAUACUCUUGUUGA